rnacentral:lncRNA from 1 species
ACCACACUUGGCUAAUUUUUUUGUAUUUUUGUAGGGAUGGGGUUUUUCCAUGUUGCUCAGGCUGGUCUCGAACUCUUGGGUUCAAGCAAUCUGCCUGCCUCAGCCUCCCAAAGUGUUGAGAUUAUAGGCAUAAGCCCCCUCAUCAGCCUAAUUAUUAUUAUUAUUUUUUUUUUUUUUAAAUAGAGACAGUGUCUCACUAUGUUUCCCAGCCUGGUCUCGAACUCCUUGUCUCAAGUGAUCCUCACA